rnacentral:rRNA from 1 species
UACGAAGGGUGCAAGCGUUAAUCGGAAUUACUGGGCGUAAAGGGUGCGUAGGCGGUUAGUUAAGUCUGUUGUGAAAUCCCCGGGCUCAACCUGGGAAUGGCAAUGGAUACUGGCUGGCUAGAGUGUGUCAGAGGAUGGUGGAAUUCCCGGUGUAGCAGUGAAAUGCGUAGAGAUCGGGAGGAACAUCAGUUGCGAAGGCGGCCACCUGGACCAGCACUGACACUGAGGCACGAAAGCGUGGGGAGCAAACAGG